UGGUAACAGGCUAGGUUUCUAUCCAACUGGUAACAGGCUAGGUUUCUAUCCAUCUGGUAACAGGCUAGGUUUCUAUCCAACUGUUAACAGGCUAGGGUUCUAUCCAACCGGUAACAGGCUAGGGUUCUAUCCAACCGGUAACAGGCUAGGGUUCUAUCCAACCGGUAACAGGCUAUGUUUCUAUCCAACCGGUAACAGGCUAUGUUUCUAUCCAACCGGUAACAGGCUAUGUUUCUAUCCAACUGGUAACAGGCUAGGUUUCUAUCCAACUGGUAACAGGCUAGGUUUCUAUCCAACUGGUAACAGGCUAGGUUUCUAUCCAACUGGUAACAGGCUAGGUUUCUAUCCAACUGGUAACAGGCUAGGUUUCUAUCCAACUGGUAACAGGCUAGGUUUCUAUCCAACUGGUAACAGGCUAGGUUUCUAUCCAACUGGUAACAGGCUAGGUUUCUAUCCAACUGGUAACAGGCUAGGUUUCUAUCCAACUGGUAACAGGCUAGGUUUCUAUCCAACUGGUAACAGGCUAGGUUUCUAUCCAACUGGUAACAGGCUAGGUUUCUAUCCAACUGGUAACAGGCUAGGUUUCUAUCCAACUGGUAACAGGCUAGGUUUCUAUCCAACUGGUAACAGGCUAGGUUUCUAUCCAACUGGUAACAGGCUAGGGUUCUAUCCAACUGGUAACAGGCUAGGUUUCUAUCCAACUGGUAACAGACUAGGGUUCUAUCCAACUGGUAACAGGCUAGGGUUCUAUCCAACUGGUAACAGGCUAGGGUUCUAUCCAACUGGUAACAGGCUAGGGUUCUAUCCAACUGGUAACAGGCUAGGUUUCUAUCCAACUGGUAACAAGCUAGGUUUCUAUCCAACUGGUAACAGGCUAGGUUUCUAUCCAACUGGUAACA